UUAAUGUGUUUUAGGCUUUGAACACGGAACCUGGGCUUUGAACACGGCUUUGAACACGGAACCGUGAGAUUCGGAGUAGACGUCGUUUGAUCUUCCAGAUGGUGUUUAGGACGAAUCGUCAUGAAGAAUCUCUGGUCGAGUUUCAUUGGCGCCGUUUGGUGCACGAUCAAUCAUUCAAAGAUUAUUAUCACUCUUGAGGCGGUGGAUAAUUCCUAUAAAAAUGAGACAGAGCCAGAGCCAUAACCAUGAACUCCUUCAGAUCUACUCUACCGGAAAGAUCUUCCGAGCAUCUCACGGUUCCGGCGAUUCUUGCUUGGCUUAACAACGGCGGCAGUGAAGAUUGCGGUUCUUGCUUGGCUCAACGGCAGGGAUUGACGGAUGAAUUGAGAGUGGUUCGGGCAUGAUGAUGGGUUCGGGUUAAAGCUCUGACUAGGCGAUGCUGAUAAAUAGUGACAUCAAAUCAUUCUGGCGACCUACUAUAACAUUACCAGUGAUCCUACAAAGCUUUUUAAUAUUACCAGAUUUUAAAGAUUUGCUUUGUUGAUCAAAUUAUUUCGAUACUGGUUUAAUAUUUACAAUUACAUCUCAUACUCCUACAGGCAUCUCUCAUCCAAGCCUCUGUAACCGUCCAUCUGCUGAACACAUUCAGCUAACUUCUUAAGGAGAGAAUUUGAUGGUAACAAGAAUUUGUAGCGUUAGAUCUCCAGGAGACUUUCAGCUAAGGCGAGAUUGAUCAUAUGUUGAUCAUAUUUACGUUCCUCAUUCAACAAGUAAUAUUGCUUUUGGUUGGCUUUGCAAUUUGCGCUAUGAGUUUCUAUUUUUUUUCCUCAGUAUCAGCAAGAGACUAUCAAUAUAAGCAAACUAAGUAGUCAGUUUUGGAUUGUUGGAAGAGUGGGUGACCACUUGAAUUUAGAGAUGAUUGAACAUUGAUGGAUAUGUUUCGUGCAAGUCCAUAUUCUAUUAUAUAUUCUCUUUUACUGCUCCAAGUCACGAUAUACAUGAGUUUAGUAAGAGAAGGUUAUAGUAUGAUACCUUAUAUUCAGAUGUGUUGUGAUGAUUUGCUAGAUUUCUUAAAAUUGAUUUAACAGGAUGGAGAGGCCGGGAUGAGAAGGUGAUACCGCAGAUUCCAUUGCCCGCCGCAUUUUACUAAUAACUGCUCUUAACAAGGAGGCUCAAGUGCUCAACCUUUCUUUUGCUAGCUAAUGCGUGGAAAACUGGUGUACCUACAAGGGUUCAAGCUAUGGACUUCUGUUUUUCUUUGUGUGUGCACGAGAACAUUAUGAGUUUAGGAGAUCUCCUCAAAAAAUAAAAUUUCGAAGUCCAUUUCAAAUUAGUACUAGCCAGGCAAAAAUCAGAUAUUUAUAUUUGAGAAUAGGUCCUAAGAAAACAUUUGAUUGAUUUUCUGCAAGAUGCUUUGUGAGAAGAGCUUAGCUUUGGGAAAGAUAAGGGGCCUAAGGGAGAGGAAACAUUGUUUGUGAUUUGAUGGAAAAUGAGUGUUUGAUAUGCAAGACAUUGUUUUAGCUUAAUUAUAAUUGUUUCAUUUUCUUUUGUCGGUCAUUGUAUUAAAAGAUCUCUCAAACUUUCAGAAACAUUAAUUUGCAGAAAAAUUGUUCGAUUA